rnacentral:misc_RNA from 1 species
UUGUUUCUCCUUGGCACCCCGGGGUUCCAAGGGGGAGUUGGAGCCAGUUGUGGGGCCCCGAAACCAUUCCUUUGAGGGGGGUUUCUUGGUCCAUGGUUCUCUGUUUGUGCUCUCGGAUGCGGAAUACUAUGCGGACAAAGGGCCUUUGGCCUUUGGUUGCUCCGAAUCUAGUCCCUCGACACGAACGACUAUCGUUACCUUAUUGGCCGUUGGGUUCAUUUGGUGCGA